rnacentral:rRNA from 1 species
GAUGAACGCUAGCGGCAGGCCUAACACAUGCAAGUCGAGGGAGGAGCCUUCGGGCUUCGACCGGCGUACGGGUGCGUAACGCGUAUACAAUCUGCCUUUCACAUAGGGAUAGCCCGAAGAAAUUUGGAUUAAUACCUAAUGGUAUAUAGAUGUGGCAUCACCUUUAUAUUAAAGCUGAGGCGGUGAAAGAUGAGUAUGCGUUCUAUUAGCUAGUUGGAGAGGUAACGGCUCCCCAAGGCGACGAUAGAUAGGGGUUCUGAGAGGGAUAUCCCCCACACUGGUACUGAGAUACGGACCAGACUCCUACGGGAGGCAGCAGUGAGGAAUAUUGGACAAUGGUCGGAAGACUGAUCCAGCCAUGCCGCGUGCAGGAAGACGGCCUUAUGGGUUGUAAACUGCUUUUGCAGGGGAAGAAUAAGGACUACGCGUAGUUUGAUGACGGUACUCUGAGAAUAAGCAUCGGCUAACUCCGUG